rnacentral:rRNA from 1 species
GUACGCUGGCGGCACGCUACACAUGCAAGGUUAAACGAAGUAGCAAUACUUAGUCGGCAGACGGUGUGAGUAACAUGUAGGUAUCUGCCCUUUGGCCUGGAAUAACACGAGGAAACUUGUGCUAAUACCGGAUAAGUCUUUACGGAGAAAGCUUUAUGCACCAUUGGAUGAGCCUGCACUUGAUUAGUUUGUUGGUGGGGUAAUGGCCUACCAAGACUGUGAUCAAUAGCUGAUUUGAGAGGAUGAUCAGCCACAUUGGGACUGAGACACGGCCCAAACUCCUACGGGCAGGCAGCCUGUGGGGAAUCUUGCACAAUGGAGCGAAACUCUGAUGCAGCGAUGCCGCGUGAGUGAACGAAGGCCCUUGGCGUAGUAAAGCUCUUUCGUCGGGGAACGAACAAUGACUGUACCCCGAAUAAGAAGGUCCGGCUAACUUCGUGCCAGCACGCCGCGGUAAUACGAAGGGACCUAGCGUAGUUCGGAAUUACUGGGCCUUAAAGAGCUC